rnacentral:lncRNA from 1 species
AGGCUGCAGUGAAUUCUACAAAGAGGCUAUGGGAAAGAAACCUGGAAAGUACCCUUGGCUGUGUACAUUUGAGUAAAGAGAGCACUAUAAAAUCAAAAACCAAUGAAAUGGUUUCCAGAACACAGAACUAUUAAGCUUAAGAAAAGGACAGAAGGAACUGAAGAGAGAGGAACUGUUUUGGAGCAUCACACUUCCACCUCAGAAGAAAUAAGGAAGGAAGGAGGAGGGUGUUCCCACGGCUCUUCAACCAGGCCGGCUCUUCAGCCUACAUCCCCAUCUCAUCAAGUAAAAGGGAUUUUUCAACUGGACCAACCAGAUGGUUUAACAGUGCACUCCCACACCAUUCAACUACGCAAGGGAGAUACACUUAACAUAUGCAGUCGUAUAACACCUACUAACAUUUUCAAACAUUAAACCUUUAAAAAAGAGUUCUAAAGAAAUAGAAGCUUGAAGUAUCAUCUCUCAAGUAUAUAGACACUACUUCAUGGUGUGGUAAUAUAUGCAUAUAGAAGCUAGUAAACACCUCCAGGAGAUGCAAAAGGAAUUAGAACUGCCACAAGGUGCAAGCAAAACCUUGAGGAUAUGGGAGGACACCUGAGACGGCAGGCCAGAAGUCACUCAGUAGGAGAAACAUCCGUUAGAAGUAAUAAUGUGGGAUUGCUGAAGUAAAGACUAUAGGAAGAAAAAAGUGUCUGUGUGUAGGAAACGGAAAGGGAGAGAAAAAUACACUGAGAUGGUAAAGUAAGGAAGUGGAAGAUCAGCAGAAUGUGCAGAUGCCAAGCCAUCCAAGAAAAUCAUCUCUUGUGAUUGUUGCGAAGUCAACUAGCUAAUGUGACUCACUGCUAGGCUGUUGGAUCUGAGACUUAUGUGGGAUAAUUUAGAAACUUGCUAGUGUCUUAAGAUCAAUUACUCACCAAUGAGAGUGGCAUUGAACUGUGAAUGUUCCUCCUAGAUUUUCCAUGAAGACUAAUGGUUUUGUCUUGUCUUGAAUUUGUUUUAAUUACAAUUUGUAUACAUCCUGUUCCACCCUGAAAUUUUUAUUUUCCAAAUGGUUUUUCAUUUAAAGAGACUAAAUAAAGGUUCUGACUGAGUUGUACUUGUGGGAACUCCAAAAUCUUUUUAUAGGAAGCUAUUUUCAUCAAAUAGUGUUGAGAAUCAAGUUUCCAGUUGGAGAAAAUAACAGAGACAUGCAAAUUCAGGAUGUAGCUGUACAGCAAUGUUAGUGAAGAGAGAAAAUUUUGAGUCAUUUAGACAUUAACCAUUAAGCAUCUGGAUUUUUUUAAAUGUUAAGACAGAAAAAAAUACCUGUAUGUCAACCAAAAUUUUAUUUAAUUUAGUGAACUGUGAUAGGGACUCCUCUCUGCUCAUCCAAAUCCAGGUUUUCUUCUGCUCCUGGACACAUAAGCAGGGUAUGUGUUGCAGUUAGCUGUGGCCAGGACAUUGGACUUGUGGUCAAUGGAAUAUGCACAAGAAGAGAUGUGCGAUAUUUCCAAGCCUGACUCCCUAAACAGUAAAUACUUUCGAGUCAUAAUUUUCCACAUUCUGUCCUAUUAGCUGUGUCAAUGGAAUGACUAUUGGCAUCUUAGAAGUUAGAGAUGAAAGAUCUCCUAUCAGCCUGAUUCUUCAGAGACUUACUUGGAACAGAACCUCUGCUGUGGAUCUUAAACCACUCACUCUGGGGAAUGGUGAGGAUUAAAUUCCUAUUUUGUUUGAGUCAUUG